UGAGUAACCUGCCCUCGGCACCGGAAUAGCCCGGGGAAACUCGGAUUAAUGCCGGAUAGCCCCUCCGCCUUACGGGGUGGCGGGAAAAGGUAGCUUCGGCCUCUGGCCGAGGAUGGGCUCGCGGCGGAUUAGCUUGUUGGCGGGUAACGGCCCACCAAGGCGACGAUCCGUAGCUGGUCUGAGAGGACGAUCAGCCACACUGGGACUGAGACACGGCCCAGACUCCUACGGGAGCAG
rnacentral:rRNA from 1 species